CGUGUAGGCGGCUUCGUAAGUCGGAUGUGAAAGCCCUGGGCUUAACCUGGGAAUGGCAUUCGAUACUGCGCGGCUAGAGUCUGAUAGAGGGAAGUGGAAUUCCAGGUGUAGCGGUGAAAUGCGUAGAGAUCUGGAGGAACACCAGUGGCGAAGGCGGCUUCCUGGAUCAAGACUGACGCUGAGGCUCGAAAGCGUGGGGAGCAAACAGGAUUAGAUACCCUGGUAGUCC
rnacentral:rRNA from 1 species